UUUAUCAGGGAUUUUUCAGUUUCCAAAUAGGGAAUGCCAGAAUUCUUGCUAGGGAGGCCAGUGGCAGGAUCCUGCCUACUCAAAGCUGGCACCUUGGACCCAGCUGGCU